rnacentral:rRNA from 1 species
GCCCAGACUCCUACGGGAGGCAGCAGUAGGGAAUCUUCCACAAUGGGCGAAAGCCUGAUGGAGCAACGCCGCGUGAGUGAAGAAGGUUUUCGGAUCGUAAAACUCUGUUGUAAGGGAAGAACAAGUACAGUAGUAACUGGCUGUACCUUGACGGUACCUUAUUAGAAAGCCACGGCUAACUACGUGCCAGCAGCCGCGGUAAUACGUAGGUGGCAAGCGUUGUCCGGAAUUAUUGGGCGUAAAGCGCGCGCAGGCGGUCCUUUAAGUCUGAUGUGAAAGCCCACGGCUCAACCGUGGAGGGUCAUUGGAAACUGGGGGACUUGAGUGCAGAAGAGGAAAGUGGAAUUCCAAGUGUAGCGGUGAAAUGCGUAGAGAUUUGGAGGAACACCAGUGGCGAAGGCGACUUUCUGGUCUGUAACUGACGCUGAGGCGCGAAAGCGUGGGGAGCAAACAGGAUUAGAUACCCUGGUAGUCCACGCCGUAAACGAUGAGUGCUAAGUGUUAGGGGGUU